GUGUGCGAUUGACCGGGAUCCGUCCUGUGAUACGCCUUGGUGGCGAAGGCGUGCACUUCUCCCCUAGUAGGACGUCGCGACCCGUUGGGUGUCGGUCUACGGCGUAGCCUGGCGUGAAUUGUCAGACCCUGCGUGUUCUGGCCGACUGCCCGACGGUAUAGCGUUCGGCCGGUCGCAAGCGUGUGCGGUUCUUUUGGCUGUCGGACCUGGUCCGGCACCGAUCCCGCCGUGCUGUUGGUGACCGUGUCCUCGGACAGACUCUACAGGUCAGCGAUGCUAUUGCUUUGGGUACUUUCAGGACCCGUCUUGAAACACGGACCAAGGAGUCUAGCAUGUGCGCAAGUCAUUGGGAAUUACAAAACCUAAAGGCGUAAUGAAAGUGAAGGUUCGCUUAUGUGGACUGAGGGAUGAUGGUUCGGUGCAAACUCGCAAUCCCGGGGCGUCUUACUCUCAUUGAGAAGAGGCGCACCAAGAGCGUACACGCUGGGACCCGAAAGAUGGUGAACUAUGCCUGGUCAGGUCGAAGUCAGGGGAAACCCUGAUGGAGGACCGUAGCGAUUCUGACGUGCAAAUCGAUCGUCGGAACUGGGUAUAGCGGCGAAAGACUAAUCGAACCAUCUAGUAGCUGGUUCCCUCCGAAGUUUCCCUCAGGAUAGCUGGCAUUCGAUGAGCGAGUCUCAUCCGGUAAAGCGAAUGAUUAGAGGCCUUGGGGCCGAAACGACCUCAACCUAUUCUCAAACUUUAAAUGGGUGAGAUCUCUGGCUUGCUUAAAUAGUGAAGCCAGAG
rnacentral:rRNA from 1 species